AACGAACGCUGGCGGCAUGCCUAACACAUGCAAGUCGAACGAGACCUUCGGGUCUAGUGGCGCACGGGUGCGUAACGCGUUGGAACCUGCCCUUAGGUUCGGAAUAACUCCCCGAAAGGGGUGCUAAUACCGGAUAAUGUCUUCGGACCAAAGAUUUAUCGCCUUUGGAUGGGCCCGCGUUGGAUUAGCUAGUUGGUAGGGUAAAAGCCUACCAAGGCGACGAUCCAUAGCUGGUCUGAGAGGAUGAUCAGCCACACUGGGACUGAGACACGGCCCAGACUCCUACGGGAGGCAGCAGUGGGGAAUAUUGGACAAUGGGCGAAAGCCUGAGCCAGCAAGGCCGCGUGAGUGAUGAAGGCCGUAGGGUUGUAAAGCUCUUUUACCCGGGAUGAUAAUGACAGUACCGGGAGAAUAAGCUCCGGCUAACUCCGU
rnacentral:rRNA from 1 species